rnacentral:rRNA from 1 species
UAGGGAAUCUUCCGCAAUGGACGCAAGUCUGACGGAGCAACGCCGCGCGAGUGAAGAAGGAUUUCGGUUCGUAAAACUCUGUUGUUAGAGAAGAACAGCGCAUAGAGUAACUGUUAUGCGUGUGACGGUAUCUAACCAGAAAGCCACGGCUAACUACGUGCCAGCAGCCGCGGUAAUACGUAGGUGGCAAGCGAUGUCCGGAUUUAUUGGGCGUAAAGCGAGCGCAGGCGGUCAAUUAAGUCUGAUGUGAAAGCCCCCGGCUCAACCGGGGAGGGUCAUUGGAAGCUGGGUGGCUUGAGUGCAGAAGAGGGGAGUAGAAGUCCGUGUGUAGCGGUGAAAUGCGUAGAUAUAUGGAGAAACACCGGUGGAGAAAGCGGCUCUCUGGUCUGUAACUGACGCUGAGGCUCGAAAGCGUGGGGAGCGAACAGG